rnacentral:lncRNA from 1 species
GUAUGUAAGAUUUUGGAUUCGAUCAUUCAUAGAGAAUACCUUUUAUCGAUUGUAACCCUUAAAAGCCUCUACAGCGGAAGUUCUUAAUCGAGCUCUGCUGAGGCGUGAAUCUAUUGAAUCAUUCAACUUAUUUUGAUUCAUUCUCGUGUUUGAUAUUUCUGUUUGCAUUAGUCUGAUUAACCUGUAUAAGAUCUAAACGAUCAAAGAGUUUUACAACUCAUCAUAAACACAUAAGAUCAAUAUAUACACAUAUUACCAUAACAACAUAAGUCACAAAGGCAGUAUGCACGAUAACACAUAACACAUAACACAUAAUAAACAAAUAAGACCCUCUGGUCGAUAGUGUACUAAGACCCUCUGGUCUAUAUGUACUGAAACCCUUUGGUCAAUAAUAUACUAAGACCCUCCGGUCACUAGUGCAAAUAAGACCCUCUGUUCAUCAACAAGAAUAAGACCUUUCGGUCACACACAAAUUACAACACAAAUAAGUAUUGUGAGAAGACUCACCUUGGAUGGCGAAUAGAUCCUAUAAUUUCUGCUGCUACACUCCGGCUUCUAUCACUAAGCCAAACCCACAAAUAACCCCAUUAGAAUCUAAGACCAACCUUCACAUAUUAUGUCUAAACAUGGUCCACCAACCUGGUCCAUAAAUAACUCAAGUCCAUUUGGCCCACCAAGGCCAAACCAUGGCCCAAUUUUCCAAAUUGGUUCCAAACCCUGGGCCUUACCCUAAAGCCCAUCUAAAUAUUCUAGUCCACAUGACUGCUCUUGGAUUGCCCAUCAAUGGCCCAAACUCCAAAGCCCAAUAGGAAGGCCCAACACAAGGCCCAAGUAAAAAUUUGGGUUUUCACAUAAAAUGAUGAUUAGGGUUAAGUGUUUCUCACUUAACCCAUUAAGCCCAUUAUUCCACUAAGCCAUCACACAAUGGAAUUGGGAUGAGUCACAACUUCAGUCCACUGGUCCAAACGCGGGUCUCAAUAGGCCCAACCAACAAACCUAAAAUUAGGCUUUUCUAAACCCUAAUUAGGUUUUCUAGUCGAACCAACCCAGUCCAAUAUUAAGCAACUGGGCUAAUUAGGGUUCCACUAGGUCAACACCACCCACUGUCACCACGGGUAGUGGUGAUUGGCGGUGGCCCAUGGCGGCAGGCGGUGGCAGCCACCAUUUCCAAUGGUAGUGGUGAUGGUUCCUGUCCAAAAAGUGCACAAGCAACCUCAAACAUAAAUACACACGCACACAGCCACCUACCGUGGUGGCUGGUGGCGACAUAGGGCCACAGAAGGAAAAGNGGGGGCAGCCACCACCAUGAGGUGGUGGCAGUGGGUUCUCGGCCUCAAAUGUACAAAAUCCACACCAUAAUUACCGAAAAUACUCUUACAAUCAAACAAGAGCACAAACAGCCACCACACGACGUCAAACGUCGCCGGAAAAACGAAGACAACAGCCCUCAUGGCCACCGGCGGUGGCAGACGAUUCCAACGCCACACCCACACAAUAACGAGAGAGAAAAUGAGAAGAGUGGGUUGCGGUGACUUACCCAACAUCCUCGAAGGCUCCUGACGUGCACAAAGAUGGCACAUGAGGUUUCAUUCUCGGUCUUCGGCGGUUCCCCGACAGCCUACGACGAUCCGGCAACAGGCAAUACGAUCGCGCCCUUCGUCGGCAUCACAGCGGUGACGAACAGCUUCCAGGGACGGCGACGACUGAAGACGUUACAAAUGAUGGUGGUGGCUGGAAUGGAGCGCUAGGGUUUGGUUCACUCGAUAAAACAGUUCCCAUCGGACUGGAAGGAACGAGUUAAAGUCUCGUGACUCCAUUCAAACAUAUUUAAGAUUUUGGCAACUCCAGAAUUUACCUUUUUAGCUCUCACUUCCAUAAUUAUUUUCAUAAUAAACCCAAAAUUACUAAGGAACUCGUUUUUUUACACACUAUUUCCAAUUACAGCCCCUGCCUUCUUAAAUAAUCACAAAACCAAUCCAAAACUUACGUUUUUAACCCCUAUCUUCUAAAAUUAUGACGGUUAACUCCUCGAACCCAACACCUUACUAAAUUAUUAAUGAUUUUAGGGUUUCUCUUCAUAUUAACCCUUAUUUAUUUAUUUAUUUGAUAUACGAGAUGUUACAACUCUCUCCCACUUAAAUUAGAUUUCUCCCUCGAAAUCUUUCCUUAUCAUCCCCUACAUGCCUGUCAACUUGAACGGCCUAGCCCCAAGCUCGAGCAUAACCCCAGUCAUUCAAUCUAACGGAGUUUUCUCAACCAACCACAUGGCACGUGCAACUACUAAGUUCGCUUAACUCCAAGCAAAUAUUGCAACCACUCUGAAGUCACAUGACACUCCUGACCUCUGUCGUCUAACACUCACUAACUCGAUGCGUGUUGCGGUCCUAUUCAACCUAGACGAACCGACCCUCCCAGGUCUAGAUCAUCAGAUGCAAUCCAUAACCACCAAAAAUGAAAUCCAUCGGGAAUCUAAAAUCUCAACUCAUCUAUCCUAUACACCAAUAGGGCCAAACCGCAACUCACGAGUUUGGUCCGACAGCAAAAUUAGAACCACUCAUAUCCAAUCAAAUAUUCGACUCACGACCUGUGAUAUGAGGAUCUACACGCACACUACUCUCCUAUUCCCUCUGAAUUGCGACAACCUCUUACCAAUUAAAGAUAUGACAGAUCCCGACCAUCAUGGAGACCCUAGUCUCGCUCCUGAUCCGGACACCAGGUUCCCAAAGACUCAGUCGUCAAGGCUACCUAAGCCUAAGAAUUCCUUUGUAUCAUGCUCUACCCAGGGAAUACUAUGGAUUCCCGUAGUCUUACGAUACACUCACUCUGACUCGUGAAUGCUACAGCUCCCCGCAGGUCGACAUCACUUACUCACUCCCCCGUGAAUGCUACGGCUCCCCGCAGGCUUACAUCACUUACUCACUGACUCGUGAAUGCUACGGCUCCCCGCAGGCUUACAUCACUUACUCACUCACCCGUGAAUGCUACGGCUCCUCGCAGGCUUACAUCACUUACUCACUCACCCGUGAAUGCUACGACUCCCCGCAGGCUUACAUCACUUACUCACUCACUCGUGAAAGCUAUGGCCCCCCGCAGGCUUACAUCACUUACCCGUUCACUCAUGAAUGCUACGACUCCCCACAUGCUUACAUCACUUAAUCACUUGCCAUGGGAUCUCCCUGUGUUUUUUUUUUAUAUUACAAGGUGAUUAUUCCCACCUGGAUCCUUCCACUCUUUUACCAUCCCUGUCCAAUGACAACUAGUUGAUGGGCUCCCACUGGAAUAAUAACCACUCGAUACUCCACUUAUCAUAUCAUAAAUUCGAGUCUCAAAAUAAUCCAACAACUUAGGGCAUCAUACUCGAACACCUCGAUACACCAUCACCGAAUCUAACAUUUGCUUGUCUCAACCUCUGAUCUACCACUCACGGCAUCAGACUCGAAUGCCGUGAUUCACUCUCAUAGAAUCUCAUAAUGUCCUGCCAUGAUCAGUGAUCUUCUUCUCGCACGAAUCAUAACCUCGAAAUACUCCACUCACAAAUUGAAACAUGAAGAAAUCGUUAAGGACUGAGAUCACAUUAACGAUCAUCCAAAACCCCAUCCUAUUACUGAUCAAAACCCAUGCGAAGCUACUCAUAAUAACUCUGAAACUAUUUGACAAAUCAAAUGCUGCUCCUCCCGGAGUAUAGAUACAAUCUAUACAUCAAACUAUCAAAUCUCAACAAUCGAAACUGCACCUUGACGAGCCAACCGCCUCGAACUCGACCAUUGCAACCCUAAAGAGUCCUUGACCACAAUAAGAUCCCUGACUAAUGACUACUAACCGUGGAUACACUCGUUCUUCCAUGGACACGUAGAAUAUGUAUAAUCUUGCUCUACGCCUUGCCUCAUUCACCACUAAACCCAAGUCUCAUAUGACCGUACCGCAGGUUGCUGACACCUAAUCCUUUAACCCCAAAGUGAACAGAGUGAUGACCCUCCAACAAAAUACCACGUUCUCCCCCACUUAGGGUUCGAACCAUCGCCUAAUGUCAUACCCAAUCAACCACACUACAGAUUGGCUCUCCAGAUGUAUCAUUCCCAACUCAGGGGACGUACGAUACAACACCCGAUGACUUUCCAGAAAAUGACUGAAUAACUCCAAGUAUCCCAAACACCAUAUGUAAACCUCGGAAUCCUCCCCAUGUGACUGCCUCCAGUCACCCAGAACCUCGUCCGGCUGCACAUGUACUUAAUUCGACGGUCCUAGAAAAACAUUAUCUCCUUUCCUGGAAAUAUUAGACUACCACAUACUUCAUUCUCAGAAUCCUCAAUCAUCACUCCACUGUAAGAUUCUGUGACAACCCGAAAUUUCCAUUCUGAACAAACCAUUUGAAGCUAAUAGAAGUAGAACAGUUACAGUGAAAACUCACAUUUCGAGUAUAAGUUUGGCAGUUUUCAGGAUUUUACACUUAAGGAGAUAUUAGGAGAGUGGAUGCACUAGGGUUUUGUGCAACACUGUUAUUCCAAUACUCUAGGACAUUAGAAUUCAUUUCAGGAAUAAAAAUAUUUUCUGCCAAAAUAUCUCAGGAAUAUAAAUAGAAUUCUGAACCAAAUUGGUUCAUUAGUUGAAUUCCAAUUAGAGAAAAGCCAAAAUUCUCUCUCACGGAUCUUCGGGUUUUUAUCCCAAAUUGUGAGUAACUUUUUCUAGUAGUGUUAGAAAGCUUUAAAUGUGUUCAUAACAUAGAUUACAUAGCUAAAUCAUCCGAUUUAGGAGUUUACUCCCCAAGGUGUUCUUGGGCGGUAACCUCCCGAAACCAAGCCUAGAUUGUCCCCCGUGAUAUACUACUGCCUUGGACUUGUAUAGGAGUGUGUUAGGGACAUGAAAUCAACAAAGAAUCACCCAAGUUUGGGAGUUCACGGCCCAAGAAUAUCUUAGGCCGUAAACUCCAAAAAGAAUGCUUAAAAUGGUGCUUUUAAGGCACCUAAGGCUUAGACUUAAUUUUAGACAUGUACCCUAAAGUGUUUAAAGCCUAGAAAACAUAAGGAAUCACAAGUAUUGAGGAGUUUACGGCCAAGACAAGUUCUUGGGCCGUAAACCCCUAUAAAGGGGUCAAAUGACACCCUAACUCCUUCCUUAUGCCUAGAACCCAACAUAGAUCAUAACCUUGAAAUGUUAGAGACUUGAAAACACCAUAAACACCCUCCCAAGGGAGUUUACGGCCGUAAACUCCAAGGGAAUAUGGUCCCAGGGCCGUAAACUCCUUAAAGGAGUUAAUAGGAAGCCCAAACACUUGAUUUAGCCUUGAAACAAUUCACCACUAGAGUUGUAGUAAUUCUAAGCUUCAUUUAGUGACCCUAAGGAGAGUUUACGGCCAGGAGUUUACUCCCCUGGGCCGUAAACUCCAAAACAUAUGGUCAUUAGACCUUAAACUCCCAUUAGAGGCCUUGCACUCCUUUGUUGCAACCCAUUAGCCUCCUAGCACUUGACCAAAAGUGUUUUCCUCGCGUUAAAAUGUUUAUACUUGUAUAAUUAGUGUUUUAAUCACUAAUUAUUUAUAUACAUAUGUCUUCAUAUGUAAUUAGGAUCAUUGUGUGUGUCUAAAGUCUUCACUUGACACCAAGCACUUGUCCGAUCCUUCCUUACGAUAACAGUCCGUUCAAUUCCAGUCACUUACUGCAGGUGAGUUCAUACCCCUUAAAUAAUGUUUUAAACUAUUUUUAAAUGUUUUAUGGGGGGGAUACAAGUAGAAUCAUGCUAGUUAUUAUAUCAAUCACAUGUGAUUAAUAAGUAGAAUUAUGCUAGUUAUUAUAUCAAUCACAUGUGAUUAAUAUGCAGCAUUCAAAUGAUUUACUACACAUUAGCCGUUUUACCAAACAGUUUCCUUCAAAUGAUUUUUAUAAACAUUUUAUAUGUUUUAAACUCCUUAUUACACUGUACAUUUUACUCUGUAUAUUACAUUUCAAACUUAUUUACAAUUGUGUUUCAAACAAAUGUUUCCUUAUACUUAAACUGUUUUAUCAAACCUAUGCCUUCAAACUGUUUUAUAGGUUGACAUCAAGUCGAUCUUUUCUGAAGAUAAUAAUUAUGUUCAAAUGUUUUACAAAACUUAUUUAUGCUUUUAUAUUAUAAAUUGCAUGCCUCUAUAUGUAUAGUUAUAUAAGAAAUGUUUAAAAGACUUAGGAAGGCUAUCCACCCUAUUUCCUUUUCGCGCUUGAGAUGUGGUCUGGUGGGAUAUCGGGUACUCGUCCGAAGGUCGUUUAAAUAUUAGUUAUAUAUCAUGUGUACAUAUAUAGUCAUAAAAGGUCCUUCCAGUUCAUCCCAUGCCCUUGGGUAGCAAGGGUAUACAUCCAUGUCCAUACGUACCAGUUAGAUUACUAGUAAACUACCAUAUGGGUAGUUUAGGAAGAUACUAGAACAAUUACUAGAACACGAUAUCAUACAAUGAGUCAGUUCAUUCAUGAGUCAAUACUUUCUAGAACAUUACAGUACAUUACAUAUACUACGAUACUAGGAAUAGAACAUAUACGAAGAUACUAGAACAAGUAACAAUACAUUACUUACACAUAAAUACGUUAACAAUUGUGAUCCACUGUAUGGGAGCAUGCCUUAAAUGUCAUGACCUGAGUUGUAGCCAGAGUCUCUUGAAGGGAGAGUGUGUGUUUGCAUAUAGAUCUAUACUGGAUUGACUAUCGUACACCUGGCUGCUAGCUACAGCCGGACCGGCAGGUCUGCGGAUGCCAAACGUCAUACCUUAUUUUUCGACUUUACGUUGUUGUUGUUACCAGUCUAUAGUAUGGUGCAAUUUAUCACAUGAUACCUUAAUAUAAAUCCGGUUUAAGGUAGUUAGUACAACAGUAGUUCUUAUAGCGCUACGUUUUAGUACUACAUUAAUUUUCCCUGUACACAUAUUUAGUGAUCUUUUCACUUAAACUAUAAAUGUAAAAACUAUAUUUUGUUAAUAAUAGUUACACUUGGGAAAAUUACACACUUUUACAUGACACAAACAUUUAGAACAGUUAAGUCUUGGUAGAAGACUACAUUGAGAACAGUUAGGUCUUGGUGGAAGACACCCUUAUAUAAUAGUAGGAAUCAUAGGGAUUUCUAGAGUUUUUCAAACGUUUACAGUUCAUUUACAAACAUUUUUAUACUUAUAGUUCAUUUACAUUUUCCAUACUUACAGUUCAUAAACUUACAAAUUCUUACACAAAUUAAGACACUAAAAUACUUAUGAUCUCACCAGCUUUAAAGCUGAUACUCGCUUUCAAAAUUACUUGUAUCCUCAGGUCAUCAUAGAUAGGUACCGAUGCAAGGAGAAAGGAAGAUGGAGCUUGUUCAAGACUCAUCUUUCAUUUUGAUUUAUGCUUUAGUGUUUAUCAAAAUUUGACAGAACACUUGUAUAAUAAUUAUAUUAUUAAUGCAAUGGAUGAUGUUGUUGCUUGUUUACUACUUUUCAUUGUUGUGAUACUGUACAUGACGUCCUCCGCCCCGGAACGUUUCCGCCGUUCUUGGUUUUGGGGUGUGACAGAUUCGACAUAGCACGAGAGACCUCAGUCCCACAUUCGAUCUAUUGUAUAGCCAUCAAAGCCGACAAAUCGAUAUACUCCUCUCGUUUCCAGGCAAUAGUUAUUGAUAUACGACGUACCAAACUCGAACAAGGCAUACUCGAUCCCUCGUUGUCGCAUUCCCCACUAAUAACUCCUUCUUGAUAUAGGAAUGUAACAUAAUGCUCUCAUACAACAAAAUACUCUUCGUGCCAAUAUUCCAUAUACUUGGUGCCCCACAGGGUCUUCUUCUAAUCUCUGACAUCAGAAACUCACUCACCCAUCCUUUCCAAAAUGGGAAAUAGGAACAAUUUAAUCCUCAAUAUAGAACUUGACAUCAUAGGAUAUCGCCCGACCACUCAACUCAAAAUGCAAUCCUCCACGAUGUAUCAUCUCCACCCCUUAUUUGAGUCUUGCGGCUCCAACUGGCACCUCACCAGUCAAAACCCUCGAGAUCUAAACUCAGAUUUUCCCACCCGAAGCAUACUCCAUUAAACUCGACCGACAUGGCCUUCUGGCCCCGUAAUCCCCCAUAUCUGAUAUCAGACUACUCAAACACAUCAGGAUAACUGGUAAAACCAGAAGCACUAACCGCCACGAAUCCUGGUACUCAAACCACGUGAUCACCUCUCAAUCUGCUACGGAUCAUGGUACUCGAACCAUGUGAUCACCUCUCAAUUUGCUACCUAGAACCUUUGGAAUUCUCCCUGUAUCGAGUAUGGGUCCUCUGCUUUUAGUAGUACGGGCCCAUACUACCUGCCACAUCUACCCAUACUUUCCACAUGGAUCAUCCCAGAUUUCCUAAGUAGCUGCUCAACCUCCUUAAUCACUAAUCCCAUCAUACCUGGUCGCUCUCUUGUGAAUACUCACCUCUAUCAGCAUACUCAUCUGACAAAGGUCACUCUCUAAGCUCUUCCUAGGUUUUCUCACUUGUCUUCCAUCAGCUGCUGAAGAACUCCUUAUGAUGCCAACCAUCUACCUCCUGAAUAUCGCCAUAUUCACUUAGUAGCUGACUCCCAUCAUCGAGAGUUCCACAAAGCAUGAAGCAAGCAACAUUUGGGCAUCGAAUAACUUCCACCAACACGCAGAACCACUCUAGGUUACAACUCCAAUUUCUCUACACACACUCAAAGGUGUCACCGAACUCCCGAACUCAAGCAACUCUACCCCACACGGGUAUCUAACUACUCUCUCAGUAGGCUCCUCAAUUGCUCAUCUAGGUAUCUCUCCAAGAUUACUCCUCUACUAAAAUCCCUCUCUAAAAAGGAUUCCUGUUGGAUACUCUUUCUCCGUACAUACUCAAAAGAAAAUCACAGAUAGCAACAACUCCUAGGCUAAGGCAUCACAAAUCAGUCCACUCUAGUCCUAAUAUAUGAAAUACCUAGCCUAUCUCUAGCCUGCAUAAUUUUGCAUAAAAUAUCUCAUAACACAAAAGUAAGGGUAUUUUGGGAAAUCACUGUUCGGGCUCUGGCUGAUUGUAUACACUGCUCUUUCUUGUUGUUCUCUUAGAAACUCUUGAUCGUUUUUAUAAAAUCAUUUCUUUUGAAAAUUUUCUCAAAUCCUCAGUUUGAGUCCAAAUUCACCCGAAAGUGCAUCCGAAUCCCUCAAACCAAGGCUCUGAUACCAACUUGUAACACUGUAAAUUUUCGAACAAAAUUUUCAUUUUUAAAUUACAAAAAUUCUAAUAAUACAUUUCACAAAAAUUCCAAUUAUCGAAUUAACAAACCACAAUUCCAUAAUUGUUUGAUUAAUAAUCCAGGAUCCUCCAAAACACAACUCUUUAUCUCGCGUGUACAAUCAAACCGUCGCCUUCCCGUCGUCCCGAAAAGUACCUAAAACACAUAACACAUAACAUGGUAAGCACGAAGCUUAAUGAGUUCCCCAAAUACCACAAAUACACAUUAGCCACUCGAGGGUAUAACUCUGUAAGACCCUCCGGUCAAUGUGUCUCAGUGGGACCCUCUAGUCCCACAACUCUAAUGGACCCUCCGAUCCUAACUCUGUGGACCCUCUGGUCCUAACUCUGUGGACCCUCCGAUCCUAACUCUAUAAGCUCAUAAUAAAUACACAAAAUAAUUCACAUAGACAUAAUGCAGGAUAUCGCAGUACUCAAAUAAACACAUAAGAUCAAUAUAUACACAUAUUACCAUAACAUCAUAAGUCACAAAGACAGUAUGCACGAUAACAAAUAGCACAUAAUAAACAAAUAAGACCCUCUGGUUGAAAGUGUACUAAGACCCUCCGGUCUAUAUGUACUGAGACCCUCUGGUCAAUAAUAUACUAAGACCCUCCGGUCACUAGUGCAAAUAAGACCCUUUGUUCAUCAACAAGAAUAAGACCCUUCGGUCACACACAAAUUACAACACAGAUAAGUAUACUGAGAAGACUCACCUCGGAUGGCAAAUAGAUCCUAUAAUUUCUGCUGCUGCACUCCGGCUUCUAUCACUAAGCCAAACCCACAAAUAACCCCAUUAGAAUCUAAGACCAACCUUCACAUAUUAUGUCUAAACAUGGUCCACCAACCUGGUCCAUAAAUAACUCAAGUCCAUUUGGCCUACCAAGGUCAAACCAUGGCCCAAUUUUCCAAAUUGGUCCCAA